rnacentral:rRNA from 1 species
UACGAAGGGUGCAAGCGUUACUCGGAAUUACUGGGCGUAAAGCGUGCGUAGGCGGCUGCUUAAGUCGGAUGUGAAAUCCCCGGGCUUAACCUGGGAACUGCAUUCGAUACUGAGCAGCUAGAGUAUGAGAGAGGGAGGUAGAAUUCCACGUGUAGCGGUGAAAUGCGUAGAUAUGUGGAGGAAUACCGGUGGCGAAGGCGGCCUCCUGGCGUAAUACUGACGCUGAGGUGCGAAAGCGUGGGGAGCAAACAGG